CAAGUCGAGCGAAUGGAUUAAGAGCUUGCUCUUAUGAAGUUAGCGGCGGACGGGUGAGUAACACGUGGGUAACCUGCCCAUAAGACUGGGAUAACUCCGGGAAACCGGGGCUAAUACCGGAUAACAUUUUGAACCGCAUGGUUCGAAAUUGAAAGGCGGCUUCGGCUGUCACUUAUGGAUGGACCCGCGUCGCAUUAGCUAGUUGGUGAGGUAACGGCUCACCAAGGCAACGAUGCGUAGCCGACCUGAGAGGGUGAUCGGCCACACUGGGACUGAGACACGGCCCAGACUCCUACGGGAGGCAGCAGUAGGGAAUCUUCCGCAAUGGACGAAAGUCUGACGGAGCAACGCCGCGUGAGUGAUGAAGGCUUUCGGGUCUUAAAACUCUGUUGUUAGGGAAGAACAAGUGCUACUUGAAUAAGCUGUCACCUUGGCGGAACCUAACCAGAAAGCCACGCCUAACUACGUCCCAGCAGGCGCGGGAAUUCGGGGGGGGUCAGAUUUAUCCAAAAUUUUUGCGCGUAGGGCGCGCGCGCGGGUUUUCUUGUCUGAUGUGAGGACUCCCCGGGGUUCCCGCCGGGGGGAGUUUGGGAAGGGGGGA
rnacentral:rRNA from 1 species